GCAUUAAUGGGGUAGUGGUAACCUGGGUCGUUGCCAUACGGAGACCUAGGUUUCGACCCGCCGGGGGUUCGAUUCCCCCUUAAUGCA